GGCCACGUAGCUCAGCUGGCAGAGCAUUGGACUAGUAUCCCAAAGGUCGCGGGUUCGAUUCCCACCAUGGUCA